rnacentral:rRNA from 1 species
UAGGGAAUAUUGGGCAAUGGACGGAAGUCUGACCCAGCCAUGCCGCGUGCAGGAAGAAGGCGCUCAGCGUUGUAAACUGCUUUUAUCGGGGAAGAACGGCAGUCCUGCGGGAUUGUGUGACGGUACUCGAGGAAUAAGCACCGGCUAACUCCGUGCCAGCAGCCGCGGUAAUACGGAGGGUGCGAGCGUUGUCCGGAUUUAUUGGGUUUAAAGGGUGCGUAGGUGGUUGAGUAAGUCUGGUUUGAAAGUCAGUCGCUUAACGAUUGAGGGUGGCUGGAUACUGCUGAACUUGAAUGCCCUGGAGGUAGGUGGAACGGGUUGUGUAGCGGUGAAAUGCAUAGAUAUGCGGAGGAACACCGAUGGCGAAGGCAAUCCCCUGGACCUGUACUGACGCUCAUGCACGAGAGCGUGGGGAGCAAACA